CCAGUGACUGAUGCCACGCAUAUGCUGCAGAUCCUCCAAAACAGUGCUCCAAGUUCUGCUAUUGCAGUAUUCAAAAAACGCAGAAGAGGGCAAAACAGCUCCACAACAGAGUCUCGGACCAAGAAUGCUAAACAAGCCUGCCGUUCCGCCCCACUUCCCAUGUUGGAAAUGAUGAGGGUUCAAGCAACUCAACUGAAGCAGAAGGCACCGGAAGAAGUCAUGUUGCAUGUGUGUGAACUAUAUGGUGGAGAGCGUGCUAGGAGUGAGAUUGAAUCCUUGACACGGGGACAGUCGAAUUCUCCAGAAUGGCACAGAUAUCGAAAGGGCCUGGUAACUGCGAGCAUUGCUCAUGCUUGUAUGACUCGCGCGAAGACUUUUCUUCGUUCGAAAGGUGCGGCCAACAUUGAUCCAUUUCUUAUGCUUAUUUUAAGAAGCAGAACUAUUACAACACCAGCAAUGCAUGUUGGGAUUACGAAGGAAAGUGCAGCGCGUGCUGCUUACAAAACAUGGCAAGAGGCACUGGGGCACACACUGGAAGUGCGCCAGAGAGGGCUCGUUUUGUUCGAGGAGUUUCCCUUCAUAGGCUGUUCCCCCGACGGCGUUGCAAGUUUUUCGUGCAAAUGCUGCGAGGGCAAGGAAGUCCUCUUGGA